AGGGAAUCUUCCACAAUGGACGGAAGUCUGAUGGAGCAACGCCGCGUGAGUGAUGAAGGUUUUCGGAUCGUAAAACUCUGUUGUAAGGGAAGAACCAGUACGUCAGGCAAUGGACGUACCUUGACGGUACCUUGUUAGAAAGCAACGGCUAACUACGUGCCAGCAGCCGCGGUAAUACGUAGGUGGCAAGCGUUGUCCGGAAUUAUUGGGCGUAAAGCGCGCGCAGGUGGUUUCUUAAGUUGGAUGUGAAAUACCCGGGCUUAACCUGGGGGGUGCAUUCAAAACUGGAUGGCUAGAGUGCAGGAGAGGGAAGCGGAAUUCCUAGUGUAGCGGUGAAAUGCGUAGAUAUUAGGAGGAACACCAGUGGCGAAGGCGGCUUUCUGGACUGUAACUGACACUGAGGCACGAAAGCGUGGGGAGCAAACA
rnacentral:rRNA from 1 species